GGACGCCUCUGCAGGGGCGGGUCUGGGGGGUGCGCGUUCGGGAGAAGGUGGCAGCAGCUGCACGUGCUGGCUGGCCGCGCCCCUGAGCUUAGAGCACCCCACUUCUGCACGAAUAGCCUUCCAUCUGAACCAAGCCGAGCGCUGCCUUCAAAUGUGCCCAGGGUGCGCCACGUGCACCGCUCGCACCCAGGAAGCGGCCUGAUGGCUCCCCAGAGAGCCAGGCGCGCGGGGUCCGCUCCAUCCACGCUCUCUGCAAACGCUAUUUUGGGGGUGUUUGUGUGGAGUGCGUACUGAGAGUGGACGCAGAGGCAGCGCUCGCUCCGCGCUCGUGCAGUUACACUCCCGGGAGCACCGCCCCGCGCCGCGAGGACCCGGCUCUUCCCGCCCUCCGGGGCCGCCGCCGCCCGGGGAUUGGUUGCGGGGAAGCGGCCCGCCCCGCGCCUCGCAGGGCGCGUAGGGAGAAAGCGCGAAGGCCGGCGUUGGGGCUGCGGAGUGGCCGAACCUGACCCGGGAGAGGAGGCGCUGUGGGGAAGAAGCUGCAGCAUGUCCUGGGGCAGCGGUGACUUCCGAGCCUCGGCUGAACUGUUGGGGAAGAACGGCGUGUUGGAGGAACAGAAGUCUCCAC